rnacentral:ribozyme from 13 species
AUUGAAGAGAGGAAGAAGAGAGAAGAAGAAGAGAAGAGAAAGAGGGCUUUGUCUUCUGCGACGACUUCUUCUUCUCGGUCUUGUUCUUGUCCUUCUUCUUGUUCUUGUUCUUG